CCUACGGGUGGCUGCAGUGAGGAAUAAUGGUCAAAGGCCGAGAGGCUGAACCAGCCAAGUCGCGUGAGGGAUGACGGCCCUACGGGUUGUAAACCUCUUUUGUCGGGGAGAAAAGAGCGACACGUGUGGCUCAUUGAGAGUACCCGAAGAAAAAGCAUCGGCAAACUCCGUGCCAGCAGCCGCGGUAAUACGGAGGAUGCGAGCGUUAUCCGGAUUUAUUGGGUUUAAAGGGUGCGCAGGCGGAGUUGCAAGUCAGUGGUCAAAUUGCGGGGCUCAACCCCGUACUGCCGUUGAAACUGCAUCCCUUGAGUGCGCGAGAAGUAUGCGGAAUGCGUGGUGUAGCGGUGAAAUGCAUAGAUAUCACGCAGAACUCCGAUUGCGAAGGCAGCAUACCGGCGCGCAACUGACGCUCAUGCACGAAAGCGUGGGUAUCGAACAGGAUUAGAUACCCGUGUAGUC
rnacentral:rRNA from 1 species